rnacentral:lncRNA from 10 species
GGAUUACAGGUGUGAGCCACCAUGCCUGGCCUUCUCUUCUUUGUUGCCUCCACAACAGCUGCCUCUCAGACAUUCAAGACCUUUACCCUGGUUUUCCAAAGCAUUUUCCUAAUGAAAGCCAUCCUCUUCUCUAAGGGUGGAGGUAAUGCGCUAAGGGUUUAUGACAUGCAUCUGGCUCACGGCUGUUUUUAAAAAAUCAAAUCAACAUUUAAAAAUUGAUGGAUUACACAUAAAAGUCCGGAUUUGUGGCUUUUCUUAUAAAUUCAGAAAAUCUGGCAUCAUAAGACCCACAUUUCUCCCAAGGAGCAUAUUGGCCUAAAUGAAGAGCGGACUCCCUGCCCUUUAGACAGGUUUUUCCUUUCUUUUUUCUUUCUAAAUACUGUACUUCAUGCCAUAAGACAGGUUUUUCUUAUGCCCCUGAUACACCAGCCGUAUUUCUCUCUCCUGCUUGACUUCUGCAGGCUUUCACCUUUGUGACCUUUGCUAAGCGGCAUUUUAGUGCCAGUUUCUACCCUCUGUUGCUUUAUUAUAAUUAAGUAGGGUCUAGGAAUUCGCUAGGUUCACAAAGGGGGAAAGGGGACCCUACAGCAAGAGCAGUCGCAAGUAUGCAAGUGAUGGCUAUCCCUGGAAGGGCCCCGGGUCCAGAGGGAUGGGGUCUCCCGUGCAAGGAGGCGGUGGGACUGGUGAGGGUGAAGGUGAGUCUUAGUUAUGAAGGAUCUAAAUGCUCUCUCAUCGGGCACGGGGAGCCAGUGUGGGGUUUAAGGCAGGGCGACACACCAUGAGCUGUAGGUAUGAGAAAGGUGGCUGGGAAGCUUGCGGGGCAGAAUCUAUUGAAACCCUCCCGCUCAAAAAAAAAAACCUCUUUAAAAAUAAAACAAAAACCCCUCU